UUAAGCGACUAAGCGUACACGGUGGAUGCCCUGGCAGUCAGAGGCGAUGAAGGACGUGCUAAUCUGCGAUAAGCGUCGGUAAGGUGAUAUGAACCGUUAUAACCGGCGAUUUCCGAAUGGGGAAACCCAGUGUGAUUCGUCACACUAUCAUUAACUGAAUCCAUAGGUUAAUGAGGCGAACCGGGGGAACUGAAACAUCUAAGUACCCCGAGGAAAAGAAAUCAACCGAGAUUCCCCCAGUAGCGGCGAGCGAACGGGGAGGAGCCCAGAGCCUGAAUCAGUGUGUGUGUUAGUGGAAGCGUCUGGAAAGGCGCGCGAUACAGGGUGACAGCCCCGUACACAAAAAUGCACAUGCUGUGAGCUCGAUGAGUAGGGCGGGACACGUGGUAUCCUGUCUGAAUAUGGGGGGACCAUCCUCCAAGGCUAAAUACUCCUGACUGACCGAUAGUGAACCAGUACCGUGAGGGAAAGGCGAAAAGAACCCCGGCGAGGGGAGUGAAAAAGAACCUGAAACCGUGUACGUACAAGCAGUGGGAGCACAGAGCAAUCUGUGUGACUGCGUACCUUUUGUAUAAUGGGUCAGCGACUUAUAUUCUGUAGCAAGGUUAACCGAAUAGGGGAGCCGAAGGGAAACCGAGUCUUAACUGGGCGUUAAGUUGCAGGGUAUAGACCCGAAACCCGGUGAUCUAGCCAUGGGCAGGUUGAAGGUUGGGUAACACUAACUGGAGGACCGAACCGACUAAUGUUGAAAAAUUAGCGGAUGACUUGUGGCUGGGGGUGAAAGGCCAAUCAAACCGGGAGAUAGCUGGUUCUCCCCGAAAGCUAUUUAGGUAGCGCCUCGUGAAUUCAUCUCCGGGGGUAGAGCACUGUUUCGGCAAGGGGGUCAUCCCGACUUACCAACCCGAUGCAAACUGCGAAUACCGGAGAAUGUUAUCACGGGAGACACACGGCGGGUGCUAACGUCCGUCGUGAAGAGGGAAACAACCCAGACCGCCAGCUAAGGUCCCAAAGUCAUGGUUAAGUGGGAAACGAUGUGGGAAGGCCCAGACAGCCAGGAUGUUGGCUUAGAAGCAGCCAUCAUUUAAAGAAAGCGUAAUAGCUCACUGGUCGAGUCGGCCUGCGCGGAAGAUGUAACGGGGCUAAACCAUGCACCGAAGCUGCGGCAGCGACGCUUAUGCGUUGUUGGGUAGGGGAGCGUUCUGUAAGCCUGUGAAGGUGUGCUGUGAGGCAUGCUGGAGGUAUCAGAAGUGCGAAUGCUGACAUAAGUAACGAUAAAGCGGGUGAAAAGCCCGCUCGCCGGAAGACCAAGGGUUCCUGUCCAACGUUAAUCGGGGCAGGGUGAGUCGACCCCUAAGGCGAGGCCGAAAGGCGUAGUCGAUGGGAAACAGGUUAAUAUUCCUGUACUUGGUGUUACUGCGAAGGGGGGACGGAGAAGGCUAUGUUGGCCGGGCGACGGUUGUCCCGGUUUAAGCGUGUAGGCUGGUUUUCCAGGCAAAUCCGGAAAAUCAAGGCUGAGGCGUGAUGACGAGGCACUACGGUGCUGAAGCAACAAAUGCCCUGCUUCCAGGAAAAGCCUCUAAGCAUCAGGUAACAUCAAAUCGUACCCCAAACCGACACAGGUGGUCAGGUAGAGAAUACCAAGGCGCUUGAGAGAACUCGGGUGAAGGAACUAGGCAAAAUGGUGCCGUAACUUCGGGAGAAGGCACGCUGAUAUGUAGGUGAAGUCCCUCGCGGAUGGAGCUGAAAUCAGUCGAAGAUACCAGCUGGCUGCAACUGUUUAUUAAAAACACAGCACUGUGCAAACACGAAAGUGGACGUAUACGGUGUGACGCCUGCCCGGUGCCGGAAGGUUAAUUGAUGGGGUCAGCGCAAGCGAAGCUCUUGAUCGAAGCCCCGGUAAACGGCGGCCGUAACUAUAACGGUCCUAAGGUAGCGAAAUUCCUUGUCGGGUAAGUUCCGACCUGCACGAAUGGCGUAAUGAUGGCCAGGCUGUCUCCACCCGAGACUCAGUGAAAUUGAACUCGCUGUGAAGAUGCAGUGUACCCGCGGCAAGACGGAAAGACCCCGUGAACCUUUACUAUAGCUUGACACUGAACAUUGAGCCUUGAUGUGUAGGAUAGGUGGGAGGCUU
rnacentral:rRNA from 1 species